rnacentral:rRNA from 1 species
AUGUGUGUCCCAAAGGAAAAGGUUGGAAUGGGUUUUAGAGACUUGCAUUGUUUUAAUUUGGCUCUUCUCGCAAAGCAGUGUUGGAGGUUGUUAUGUGAACCAAAUUCUUUAUGUGCUAGAGUUUUGAGAGCAAAAUAUUUUCCUGAUGGAGACCUUCUUAACUGCGGCCUUAAGAAGGGUAGUUCUUAUACAUGGCAGAGUCUAUGGAGUGGAAUUCAGUCUUUU